AAGUAAUCUUCCUGGGCUAUUCCCUUAGGGGCGGUAAACGAUGGCUCACUGAGCCCAGAAAACAAACUGUUGUGCAGAUACCACCCCCAUCUAACAGAGAGUUUCUUGGGACUGCUAGCUUUUGCAGGUUAUGGAUACCUGGGUUUGCGUCCUUAGCUGCUCCUUUAUACCCGCUGUUAAAGGGAGAUGCCCAAUUCCAAUGGACCCCUGAGCACCAGCAAGCUUUUGAUAACAUCAAAAGGGCGCUGCUAUCUGCUCCGGCCUUAGCACUCCCGGAUGUAGAAAAACCCUUUACUCUCUACAUUGAGGAAAAGAAAGGAAUAGCACGAGGAGUGCUCACUCAGACUCUAGGACCCUGGAAAAGACCUAUAGCCUACUUGUCUAAAAAGCUGGACCCAGUGGCUGGUGGAUGGCCCCAUUGCCUAAAAGCUAUAGCAGCUGUGGCCCUACUAAUCAAGGAUGCUGAUAAGUUAACGCUGGGGCAGAAACUAACCAUUAUAGCCCCCCAUUCCCUAGAGAGCAUCAUCCACCAGCCACCAGACAGACGGUUAUCAAACUCUAGAAUAACACACUAUCAGAGCCUGUUGCUUGACAAGGAGAGAAUAAUGCUGGGACCCCCCCGCCCCGCUUAACCCGGCUACACUACUACCUGAACAAUCAUCAGGACCCGUCACUCAUGACUGUCAACAUAUACUGGCAGAAGAAACCAGUAUACAACGGGAAUUAAAGGAUCAGCCACUGCCCCACCCUGAGGUCAUAUGGUUCACUGAUGGCAGCAGCUUCCUCCAGGACGGUAAGCAGCGGGCUGGGGCAGCAGUAGUUAGCAGAACUAAAGUCAUCUGGUCCUCAAGCCUCCUGGAGGGAACAUUAGCUCAAAAGGCAGAGCUGAUCGCCCUCACGAAGGCAUUAGAGCUAGUGGCAGGCAAAAAGGCCACCAUAUACACAGAUAGCCGCUAUGCCUUCGCUACCGCUCAUAUACACGGGGCUAUCUACCAGCAAAGGGGACUAUUAACCUCGGCGGGAAAGGAAAUAAAAAACAGAGAUGAGAUCCUCCGCCUCCUCUCAGCAGUGCAAAGCCCUAGGGAACUAGCUAUAGUGCACUGUCCAGGACACCAGAAAGGAAACGAUCCUGUAGCGGUCGGGAACAGGAGGGUGGAUGAAGAGGCUAAAUUGGCAGCCCUAAACNACUUUACUGAAAUUAAGCCAGCAAGGUAUGGACUUAAAUAUCUCCUAAUCUUUGUAGAUACAUUUUCAGGAUGGAUUGAAGCCUUCCCCACAAAAAAAGAAACAGUGCAAAUGGUGGUCAAGAAGAUCCUGGAAGAUAUUUUUCCAAGAUAUGGCCUGCCUAAGGUAAUAGGGUCUGAUAAUGGACCGGCGUUCGUGGCCCAGGUAAGUCAGGGGUUAGCCAGGACCCUGGGGAUUAAUUGGAGGUUACAUUGUGCUUAUAGACCCCAGAGCUCAGGACAGGUAGAAAGAAUGAAUAGAACCAUUAAAGAGACCUUGACGAAAUUAAGCUUGGAGACCGGCAUAAAAGAUUGGACUAUGCUCCUGCCUUAUGUUUCGUGCAAGAAAUACUCCCUCUGUUUCUUUGUGUAACCUCACCCCCUAUGAAAUUCUCUAUGGUGCCCCUCCUCCAGUAAGGGACCUAACCCCAACUCUAAGACCUGACGAUCCCUUCCACACCCCCUUGCUUGACAGACUUAAAGCUCUUGAAAAAACUCAGUGAUACCUGUGGAAACAGCUGGCCACUGCCUACAAACCUGGGGACGAAGGAACUCCACACCAAUAUCAAGUGGGAAACUUCAUCUACGUAAGACGACAUCAGGUGUCAUCCCUGGAACCCCGCUGGAAAGGACCAUACCAGGUGCUACUUAUAACACCUACAGCGGUAAAGGUAGAUGGAAUCACUUCCUGGAUCCAUGCCUCUCAUCUCAAGCCUGCGCCCUGUCCAGACUCUGGCUGGAAAUUGGAAAAGACUGGUAACCCUCUCAAAUUGCAUAUUCACUGUGUGGAUAAGGCUAUGGACUCUCCCCUUGACCACCAGUAGUCCUAACCCUCAUCAGCCCGUUCAGCAGUGAUGGCUAAUCACAAAUCCUACUGGACAAGAAGUAUGAUCUAUCUCACAUACAGCCCCCUUAGGGACCUGACGACCACCCCUCCACCCAUUCACUCCUCUCUUCUCCUGUCAGUGCCCACACCGGGUCCCACCAGGUCCUCUUACCAGCUAACCCAAAGCUCAAACCAGCUGAGGAGAGCCCUCAGACCCCUAUCCAAGAUGUAAUGAAAAUGGCCUUUAAAGUUGCUUUGUCAUCACUGAAAACAGGUUACUAAGAAUUUAAAGUCCCUCACAGGCUUUUUGGGAUACUCACUCCAGUCUUCCCUUCUGCUCUACCUGUUCUACUACUCAAGUUUUUGUUGCUAGGAAAAUCCCAAACCCCUUUCCCAUUAUCCACGGAGCUGCUCUCAGCCCCGCCUUCCCCGUCUUCCCCCUCUGUACCAGGCCCACAGAAAAGUCUUAACUGACCUUCUCCAGAAGUCUUCACCAUGGCUGACUUUAGGACUUUCAGCAAAAGAGUCCCUAUAAAAGAGUUCAGUAUAGAUAAACUUCCUCUUUUCAUGUUUCCCUGUUCUACUUGGCCACUGGCUGGAAAAUAUCAGCACUCCUAAGCUAGAUACCCCCUUACUAGUUUUUCACAAAAUAUGUGAACAAGGCCUCUGGCCUUGAGCUGGGGCUUCACAGAGAUGGCUACAUUUCUAAGAUAAAAAAGUUAUCAACUGGGCUCCAUGGUAACAGCUGGCAGGGGGAAAAAAAGAAAAGAAAAAAAAUUUUUCUCCCCCUCCCAGGUGUCCUUGAAAAGUUAACUUGCCCAGAACAGAGGAAAAAAACAGAAACAAAAACUGCUUUUUGUGAACUUCUGCAGACUGUGAACUUCUGAGCCCCUUCCCUUACAUGUUGAGUACAAAAUUCUGAAACUACCUAAACUUGGGGUUCAAAGGAUUAAUUGAUUACAACAGAAGCAAUGCCCUCUGAAUCCGGUUGCAACCAAAUAGGACUGUUUCCCUGUCUUCGGUGCUAUCUUAGGUGCCUUGCCUUGUCCGUCCCUACAACAGUAUAAUUCUAUAUACUUAAACAUUAUUUAUGUUUUCAUGAAAUGGUCAACAGAUGUGAUUAAUUGUAUAAUGGUGCAGAUGUUUCCCAGAGUGCUCUAUCAUGACACAGGUUCAUUUAAAGAUCAAAUAAGGGGACAUACAACCCGGUUCCACCGGGAACCCGUAUCCCUCACUUUAGCCAUCCUUUUAGGAAUAGGAGUUGCUGCAGGGGUGGACACAGGGACCACUGCCCUGGUCCGUGGGACACAACAAAUGACCCAAUUAGAAACAGCAAUGGACCAAAACUUAAAGAUAUUAGAAACCUCCAUCACAGCUUUGUAGGAAUCUUUAACCUCUCUCUCUGAAGUUGUUUUACAGAACAGGCGAGGGUUGAACCUCCUCUUCAUGAGAGAAGAAAGCCUUUGUGCUGCAUUGAGGGAAGGAUGUUAUUUUUAUGCCGACCAUACUGGAGUUGUAAAAGAAUCUGUGAGUAAACUAAGAAGACGCCUUGAAGAGCGUCAGAGAGGGAGAGAGGCCCAAAAAGGGUGGUAUGAGUCUUGGUUCACACAGUGCCCCUGGUUAACUACGCUUUUAUCAGCCCUGGCCGAUCCUUUAAUAAUUCUUAUAUUGUUGCUAACUCUAGGACCCUGUUUGCUCAACCGUGUAGUUUCCUUUCUCCAAGCCCAAAUUGGACAAGUCGAACUUAUGGUAAUCAGACAACAAUAUACCCCACUAGCAGACACAGAAUGUGACACCCCCCAAUGAUCACUUUUAUGAUUAAAAGUAGCCAGAAGAAGAAGUGGGGAAUGAAAGGUUAAUAAAAUAGGUACUUGCACUCCGUUUUUCUGUAUGCUUAACAAAACACUGUUGAAAUCCUGAGAACUGUUUGCUAAUCUUGUUCCCAGAAUGUGCUGUCCCCAACUGCCAAACUACAGAAUGCACUCCCUCACUCGGUUACAGGCAAACUGCCCACUCGCCCUGACCCGUCAAUGAACUUCCCUCCCUGCCCUCUCCAAGAACAGUAUAUAAGCUCUGCUUAAGCUGUUCCCAGGGCUCUAUCUCUCUUUGCUCUAGGGAGCUCUGAGCCCCAGCAUGCUGGUCCCCAAAUAAACCCUUUUGCUGUUGCAUGAGACAGUGUCUUGGUGGUCUCUUCCUCCGACGUUUCGCCGGUCCCUUACAUUUCUGUUGGACCCAGAACUGAGAGUUAAAACCUUGACUAGAGAGAGCUUCUGUGCAGCGCUUAGUGUCAGAAUAAAUUCCUCUUUUCCCUGUGUUCCAAUAGCAGCAGAUUCCACUCUUCCCACGGUAUAUCCUUUGUCUAACCUGUGCUGAGUAUCUCCAGGUUGGGGACCAUCCUGGUUCAUCUUAAUUUUCUCUCUGUUCUUGACAAGUAUAGAGUGAGCAUUUGUUGAGCUGAAGUGAGAGGGAAUUAAGUUAUUUCACAGGCUUCACAGUCCCCAGUGGAUCACACAUUUUCUGUCUAAUUAAUAAGGACUUUGGCUGCCUUGGCUACCUCUGGUACACUUGUACCUCCUGGGUCUUUGCUUUUUCUCUCUUUCUUUUUCAGUCUCUCUUUG
rnacentral:lncRNA from 1 species